rnacentral:rRNA from 1 species
UUAUGAAUAAGGAUCGGCUAACUCCGUGCCAGCAGCCGCGGUAAUACGGAGGAUCCGAGCGUUAUCCGGAUUUAUUGGGUUUAAAGGGAGCGUAGAUGGAUGUUUAAGUCAGUUGUGAAAGUUUGCGGCUCAACCGUAAAAUUGCAGUUGAUACUGGAUAUCUUGAGUGCAGUUGAGGCAGGCGGAAUUCGUGGUGUAGCGGUGAAAUGCUUAGAUAUCACGAAGAACUCCGAUUGCGAAGGCAGCCUGCUAAGCUGCAACUGACAUUGAGGCUCGAAAGUGUGGGUAUCAAACAGGAUUAGAUACCCUGGUAGUCCACACGGUAAACGAUGAAUACUCGCUGUUUGCGAUAUACAGCAAGCGGCCAAGCGAAAGCGUUAAGUAUUCCACCUGGGGAGUACGCCGGCAACGGUGAAACUCAAAGGAAUUGACGGGGGCCCGCACAAGCGGAGGAACAUGUGGUUUAAUUCGAUGAUACGCGAGGAACCUUACCCGGGCUUAAAUUGCAGAUGAAUUACGGUGAAAGCCGUAAGCCGCAAGGCAUCUGUGAAGGUGCUGCAUGGUUGUCGUCAGCUCGUGCCGUGAGGUGUCGGCUUAAGUGCCAUAACGAGCGCAACCCUUGUUGUCAGUUACUAACAGGUUCCGCUGAGGACUCUGACAAGACUGCCAUCGUAAGAUGUGAGGAAGGUGGGGAUGACGUCAAAUCAGCACGGCCCUUACGUCCGGGGCUACACACGUGUUACAAUGGGGGGUACAGAGGGCCGCUACCACGCGAGUGGAUGCCAAUCCCCAAAACCUCUCUCAGUUCGGACUGGAGUCUGCAACCCGACUCCACGAAGCUGGAUUCGCUAGUAAUCGCGCAUCAGCCACGGCGCGGUGAAUACGUUCCCGGGCCUUGUACACACCGCCCGUCAAGCCAUGGGAGCCGGGGGUACCUGAAGUGCGUAACCGCGAGGAGCGCCCUAGGGUAAAACUGGUGACUGGGGCUAAGUCGUAACAAGGUAGCCGUACCGGAAGGUGCGGCUG